GACAGAGGGUGCAAACGUUGUUCGGAAUUACUGGGCGUAAAGCGUGUGUAGGCGGCUUGGCAAGUGGAUGGUGAAAUCCCUCGGCUUAACCGAGGAACUGCCGUCCAAACUGCUUUGCUUGAGGCCGGGAGAGGCGAGUGGAAUUCCCAGUGUAGCGGUGAAAUGCGUAGAUAUCAGGAGGAACACCUGUGGCGAAAGCGGCUCACUGGACCACAACUGACGCUGAGGCGCGAAAGCUAGGGGAGCAAACAGG
rnacentral:rRNA from 1 species